rnacentral:tRNA from 1 species
UGGCUCGUAGCUCAGUGGGAGAGCACUACCUUGACACGGUAGGGGUCGCUAGUUCAAUCCUAGUCGAGCCAACCA